GAUGAAGAACGUAGCGAAAUGCGAUAAGUAAUGCGAAUUGCAGAAUUUCCGUGAGUCAUCGAAUCUUUGAACGCACAUUGCGCCCCCUGGUAUUCCGGGGGGCAUGCCUGUCCGAGCGUCAUUACAACCCUCAAGCUCAGCUUGGUGUUGGGCCCCGCCGCCCCGGCGGGCCCUAAAGUCAGUGGCGGUGCCGUCCGGCUCCGAGCGUAGUAAUUCUUCUCGCUCUGGAGGUCCGGUCGUGUGCUCGCCAGCAACCCCCAAUUUUUUUCAGGUUGACCUCGGAUCAGGUAGGGAUACCCGCUGAACUUAAGCAUAUCAAUAAGCGGAGGA
rnacentral:misc_RNA from 1 species